AUGAAAAAAAUAGAGAAAAAAAGAAAAGAAAAAGAGAGUACAAUGUCUUCGUCAUCGGGCGGCUAUGUCGCCAUCCCGCGCUGCCAGGUGUUAUUCGGCGGUGUUCCCUACAUUGACCCAGUCUCGUACAUACGUCGCCACUCGGUGCUUGGUGCUCGUCCGUCUGUGGCGUUGUCCCCUACUCUGCAAUGCCUGCUUGCUGCCUGGGAUUAUUCACCGACAGGUUCUGCAAUUUCUGUGACUGACUCUUCUAGCACUGAGAAACCACCUUCUACUCAUUCAGGUGCAUCCCCAUGGAUCCUUGAUACUGGAGCUUCUUUUCAUAUUACUCAUGGUUCUUCAACUAUGACAUCCGUUUGA
rnacentral:rRNA from 1 species